CGGCGCACGGGUGCGUAACGCGUAUGCAUCUACCUUUUACAGAGGGAUAGCCCAGAGAAAUUUGGAUUAAUACCUCAUAGUAUAACAUGGCCGCAUGGUCGAGUUAUUAAAGUCACAACGGUAAAAGAUGAGCAUGCGUCCCAUUAGCUAGUUGGUAAGGUAACGGCUUACCAAGGCUACGAUGGGUAGGGGUCCUGAGAGGGAGAUCCCCCACACUGGUACUGAGACACGGACCAGACUCCUACGGGAGGCAGCAGUGAGGAAUAUUGGACAAUGGGCGCAAGCCUGAUCCAGCCAUGCCGCGUGCAGGAUGACGGUCCUAUGGAUUGUAAACUGCUUUUGUACGAGAAGAAACACUGCUUCGUGAAGCAGCUUGACGGUAUCGUAAGAAUAAGGAUCGGCUAACUCCGUGCCAGCAGCGGCGGUAAUA
rnacentral:rRNA from 1 species